rnacentral:misc_RNA from 1 species
GUUAAAUAAUAUGCACAGGCAGGUAUGAAGUUUGGAACACUUUGCUCUGGAGAGCAUUAUUGUUGUUGAUUUAGUAAUUAUAGUAAUACAGUAAUAAUAUCAGAGGGUAAUGAGCAAAAUUCAAUCUACAUUUCUUUUUACAUGACUAAUUGGUGUCUGUGGGCAAAGAUGUGUGAUAUUCUUUAUUUUUUUAUGCCUGUUGCGCCAAUUAUUAUAUUUGUCUGCUUACAACAACUAUAUGACUUACAUUGGGUUUCAUUUAGUGUUGUCAAGAGGCGCUUGGGUGCCUGCCUAGGCUUCCGGCUGAGAUGAAAUCUAGGCACCUUGCCUGGGAA